GUUAGGGUGGUUCCUGGUAGAUCCUGGUCGUUAGGGUUAGGGUAGUUCCUGGUAGAUCCUGGUAGUUAGGGUUAGGGUAGUUCCUGGUAGAUCCUGGUAGUUAGGGUUAUGGUAGUUCCUGGUAGAUCCUGGUAGUUAGGGUUAGGGUAGUUCCUGGUAGAUCCUGGUAGUUAGGGUUAGGGUAGUUCCUGGUAGUUAGGGUUAGGGUAGUUCCUAGUAGAUCCUGGUAGUUAGGAUUAGGGUGGUUCCUGGUAGAUCCUGGUAGUUAGGGUUAGGGUAGUUCCUGGUAGUUAGUGUUAGGGUAGUUCCUGGUAGUUAGGGUUAGGGUAGUUGCUGGUAGAUCCUGGUAGUUAGGGUAGUUCCUGGUAGUUAGGGUAGUUCCUGGUAGUUAGGGUUAGGGUAGUUCCUGGUAGAUCCUGGUAGUUAGGGUUAGGGUAGUUCCUGGUAUAUCCUGGUAGUUAGGGUUAAGGGUAGUUCCUGGUAGUUAGGGUUAGGGUAGUUCCUGGUAGAUCCUGGUAGUUAGGAUUAGGUUAGUUCCUGGUAGAUCCUGGUAGUUAGGGUAGAUCCUGGUAGAUCCUGGUAGAUCCUGGUAGAUCCUGGUAGAUCCUGGUAGUUAGGGUAGAUCCUGGUAGAUCUUGGUAGUUAGGGUAGUUGCUGGUAUAUCCUGGUAGUUAGGGUAGAUCCUGGUAGAUCUUGGUAGUUAGGGUAGUUGCUGGUAUGUCCUGGUAGUUAGGGUAGUUCCUGGUAGUUAGGGUUAGGGUAGAUCCUGGUAGAUCCUGGUAGUUAGGGUUAGGGUAGUUCCUGGUAGAUCCUGGUAGUUAGGGUUAGGGUAGUUCCUGGUAGAUCCUGGUAGUUAGGGUUAGGGUAGUUCCUGGUAGUUAGGGUUAGGGUAGUUCCUGGUAGUUAGGGUUAGGGUAGUUCCUGGUAGUUCCUGAUAGUUAGCGUUAGGGUAGUUGCUGGUAGAUCCUGGUAGUUAGGGUAGUUCCUGGUUGUUAGGGUAGUUCCUGGUAGUUAGGGUUAGGGUAGUUCCUGGUAGAUCCUGGUAGUUAGGGUUAGGGUAGUUCCUGGUAGAUCCUGGUAGUUAGGUUUAGGGUAGUUCCUGGUAGUUAGGGUUAGGGUAGUUCCUGGUAGAUCCUGGUAGUUAGGAUUAGGGUAGUUUCUGGUAGAUCCUGGUAGUUAGGGUAGAUCCUGGUAGAUCCUGGUAGAUCCUGGUAGUUAGGGUAGAUCCUGGUAGAUCCUGGUAGUUAGGGUAGUUGCUGGUAGAUCCUGGUAGUUAGGGUAGUUCCUGGUAGUUAGGGUAGUUCCUGGUAGUUAGGGUUAGGGUAGAUCCUCGUAGAUCCUGGUAGUUAAAGUUAGGGUAGUUCCUGGUAGAUCCUGGUAGUUAGGGUAGUUCCUGGUAGGUCCUGGUAGUUAGGGUUAGGGUAGUUCCUGGUAGUUCUCAUGAACAGAACAUCAGCUGACCUUCACACAGACCCAGUCAUAGUAGUUAACUUCCUGUUUUCACAGUUUGAUCACUAGAUUACCAGGCAGAGUUUACAUUUACGUUUACGUUUCCUACAUAGUGCACUACUUCUGACCAGAGUCCUAUGGGUUAGUAGUGCACUACUUCUGACCAGAGUCCUAU
rnacentral:lncRNA from 1 species